rfam:Ruminococcus albus 8 contig00008, whole genome shotgun sequence.
CUCACCUGAGUUGGAGAGAUAAAAUGAAUGUGCGUGUCAAGUCCGCCGGCGGUGAGGAUAAGUCCCUCGCCUGCGAUAGCUUCCGUGGAAGCGCCUAUUAUCAUGUUUUUGUCAACGCCAUUCAUGAUGUCGGGGUUGCCUGCUUUGCCUAUUCCUGCUAUCCUGCCGUCCUUUAUGCCAACGUCAGCCUUUAUGAUGCCUGUGCUGUCGAUGAUAAGAGCGUUUGUGAUAACAGUGUCAAGGCACUCCUUGUCAGUGGCUUUGCAGGAUUGCCCCAUGCCGUCACGGAG